rnacentral:rRNA from 1 species
GACGAGGGGUCCUAGCGUUGUUCGGAAUCAUUGGGCGUAAAGCGUGUGUAGGUUGCCAUUCAAGUCAGUUGUGAAAGCCCCGGGCUUAACCCGGGAAGUGCUUCUGAUACUGUUUGGCUUGAGUACUGGAGAGGAUAGUAGAAUUCCUGGUGUAGUGGUGAAAUGCGUAGAUAUCAGGAGGAAUACCGGUGGUGUAGACGGCUCUCUGGACCGCCACUGACGCUGAGACACGAAAGCGUGGGUAGCAAACAGG